UACAGAGGGUGCGAGCGUUGUUCGGAAUUAUUGGGCGUAAAGGGCGCGUAGGCGGUGCGGUAAGUCACCUGUGAAAUCUCCUGGCUUAACUGGGAGGGUGCGGUGGAAACUGGGGUGCUUGAGUGUGGGAGAGGUAAGCGGAAUUCCUGGUGUAGCGGUGAAAUGCGUAGAUAUCAGGAGGAACACCGGUGGUGUAGACGGCUUACUGGACCACGACUGACACUGAGGCACGAAAGCGUGGGUAGCAAACAGG
rnacentral:rRNA from 1 species